rnacentral:rRNA from 1 species
GUGUCAGCAGCCGCGGUAAUACAGAGGGUGCGAGCGUUAAUCGGAUUUACUGGGCGUAAAGCGUGCGUAGGCGGCUUUUUAAGUCGGAUGUGAAAUCCCUGAGCUUAACUUAGGAAUUGCGUUCGAUACUGGGAAGCUAGAGUAUGGGAGAGGAUGGUAGAAUUCCAGGUGUAGCGGUGAAAUGCGUAGAGAUCUGGAGGAAUACCGAUGGCGAAGGCAGCCAUCUGGCCUAAUACUGACGCUGAGGUACGAAAGCAUGGGGAGCAAACAGAAUUAGAUACCCCGGUAGUCC